rnacentral:lncRNA from 1 species
GUACCGUCGACAUUUAUCACAAAUACCUUCAUGUUUGGCUCUCAGUUCUCAGCGCUGAUUGGUCUAUCUAGGCAUCAGUCAAGCUUAAGCCACGCCCCUUAACCCCUUCAGUCACUCGCUGUAUUGUUCCUCCGUGUUUACUGCUGUGUUUAGUGUAGCGAGCCGAGCACGUAUAUGCGGAGAUCUCUUCGAAAGCAGCUGUUUUUCCCCGUGUGUUUCGCAGAGUCUCUUUAGGAAUCCAACAUGCCUAAAAGAAAGAAUGCAGACAGGGAUGCCAAGGAUGAGCCUCAGAGGAGAUCUGCACGGUUAUCAGCAAGACCAGCUUAUGUGAAGGCUGAACCCAAACCAAAAAAGACAACUAAGAAAGACAAAGCAGCUAAUGUCAAAAAGGAGGAUAAAAAGACCAAGGUGAAGGCCAAGGAGAGCUCAGAGUCUGCAGCCAGCGAGGAGAACCACUCCGAAAAUUGAGAGGCCAAGACCAACGCGGUCACAAAGACUCAAAAAGCAACAAAGGAAGUGAAAUCUGAGUAGCACUAUUGCCUCCCAUCAACACUGUCAUCACAGCUCCCCAUCACUCCUAGUGUUGUGUCAUUGCCCAACCUCCAAGGCAUAUUGUUCACAGAGAAAUAUUUUUAUCAAUGAUUUUAUAAGUAUCAGCACAGGUUUUUUAGCACAAAAUUAAGCUAAAUGCUGAGCACCCUGUAGAUCUGCAGCGAUUGUUUCUGCAAGAAUGCCACACUAAAGGUAUUUUUAAAUGCCAUUUAUUGUUAUUGAUAACUUAUUUGGUCUAGAAAAAUCAUAUCUGCCUCUAGAGUUUGGAGUGUUUUCUUAAAGUGUUUCCGCAUGCUCUUCAUCCUCCUUCCUCACACUUGUUUUUAAGGUUUUAAAAAGUGGUUUUAAAUGGCUGGGGGAAGUUUACUUUUUUGACUUUGUAUAUUUUCUUUGCUAUUUAGACAUUUGUCCUAGAUUUUGGUGUAUUAUUCUUAACGGGGGGAGGUGGGUGGUGGGGAUCACAACCUUCAAGAAGAGAUUUGAGAGAGCUGAUAUAUUUCACUGUAUCUUGAAAAAAAAUCUAAAAAAUAAAAAAUGGCAGCUUAUUAAAUAUGAUUUUUUUCAUGCAAAUUGCUUUUUUUUUUUACCAUGUGAUUGACGUGUUGAAGUCUGCAGGUUGUUAUGUACGCUCUCUGAUGUUGCAGUGUCUGCUAAUAAAGAAAAGAGUGGAAUUUUCCUCACUUUUGCCUCUCCCUUUUUUAUUCAGACAUUAUAAACUACAG